rnacentral:rRNA from 1 species
CCUACGGGGGGCAGCAGUGAGGAAUAUUGGUCAAUGGACGCAAGUCUGAACCAGCCAUGCCGCGUGCAGGAAGACGGCUCUAUGAGUUGUAAACUGCUUUUGUACGAGGGUAAACGCAGAUACGCGUAUCUGUCUGAAAGUAUCGUACGAAUAAGGAUCGGCUAACUCCGUGCCAGCAGCCGCGGUAAUAAGGAGGAUUCAAGCGAUAUCCGGAUUUAUUGGGUUGAAAGGGUGCGUAGGCGGUCGGAUAAGUUAGAGGUGAAAUCCCGAGGCUCAACGUCGGAAUUGCUUCUGAUACUGUUCGGCGAGAGAGUAGUUGCGGUAGGCGGAAUGUAUGGUGUAGCGGUGAAAUGCUUAGAGAUAAUACAGAACACCGAUUGCGAAGGCAGCUUACCAAGCUACUUCUGACGUUGAGGCACGAAAGCGUGGGGAGCAAACAGGAUUAGAUACCCGAGUAGUC